AUUUAUAAAUAUAUCUUUGAAUAUCAUAGAGGUUCUAUCUUGAGUUAAGGAGAGAUAAUGCCGUUGAAUAGAGGUAUUCUUUGAAUAGAGGUGUCAAUUUCAUAGAGGUGUCCCUUGAAUAGAGGGUCCCUUGUAUAGACAGUGAUCCUGAAUAUAACGAGGAUCAUGACAACCAUACGACAACAGAGACUGCAGAAAAGCACUGAAUUCAAUAUCUAUUUUUCGUCAGGAAUCUCAUCUUACUAAAAAUAAUGCAUUGUCUGCCUGGAUAGAGGUGCCCUUUGAAUAGAGGUGUAACUUGAAUAGAGAUGUUCAUUGAAUAAAGUUGUCCAUAAAACAAAACUAUUCCUUGAGUUAAGGAGAGAUAUGCCAUUGAAUAGAUGUAUUCUUUGAAUAGAGGUGUCAAUUGCAUAGAGGUUUACUUUGAAUAGAGGUGUCUCUUGAAUAGAGGUGUCCCUUGUAUAGAGGUGUCCCUUGAAUAGAGGUGUCCCUUUAAUAGAGGUGUCCCUUGAAUAGAGGUGUCAUUUGAAUAGAGGUGUUCCUUGAAUAGAAGUGUUCCUUGGAAAGAGGUUAGAAAACAG